AAGAUUAAGCCAUGCAUGUCUAAGCACAAGCCGAAUAUGGUGAAGCCGCGAAUGGCUCAUUACAACAGCCUUUGUUUAUUUGAUCUUGAAAUCCUACUUGGAUAACUGUGGUAAUUCUAGAGCUAAUACACGCAAAAGAACGCGGAACGCAAGUUCCGAGUGCAUUUAUUAGUACAAGACCUUCCGAGCUUGCUCGUCCAAUGGUGAAUCUGAAUAAAUUAGCCGAUCGCAUGGUCUUUGCACCGGCGACGUAUCUUUCAAGUGUCUGCCCUAUCAACUUUCGUUGGUAGUUUAUGUGACUACCAUGGUUAUAACGGGUAACGGAGAAUAAGGGUUCGACUCCGGAGAAGCAGCCUGAGAAACGGCUACUACAUCCAAGGAAGGCAGCAGGCA
rnacentral:rRNA from 1 species